ACAUGCCUACAACAUAGUGUUAAUGCACUGGAUCCCAUUAGACCUCUUUAGUUAAGCACACUCGGGAUAGAUUAGUAUUGGGAUGGGUGACCUCCCAGGAAGUCCUAGUAUUUUACAUGCC
rfam:Picea glauca, whole genome shotgun sequence.